UACAGAGGGUGCAAGCGUUGUUCGGAAUCAUUGGGCGUAAAGGGUGCGUAGGCGGCGCGGUAAGUCGGGUGUGAAAUCUCGGAGCUUAACUCCGAAACUGCAUUCGAUACUGCCGUGCUUGAGGACUGGAGAGGAGACUGGAAUUUACGGUGUAGCGGUGAAAUGCGUAGAUAUCGUAAGGAAGACCAGUGGCGAAGGCGGGUCUCUGGACAGUUCCUGACGCUGAGGCACGAAGGCCAGGGGAGCAAACGGG
rnacentral:rRNA from 1 species